rnacentral:misc_RNA from 1 species
GAUGAAGAACGCAGCGAAAUGCGAUAAGUAAUGCGAAUUGCAGAAUUUCCGUGAAUCAUCGAAUCUUUGAACGCACAUUGCGCCCGCCAGUAUUCUGGCGGGCAUGCCUGUCUGAGCGUCAUUUCAACCCUCAUGCCCCUAGGGCGUGGUGUUGGGGAUCGGCCAAAGCCCGCGAGGGACGGCCGGCCCCUAAAUCUAGUGGCGGACCCGUCGUGGCCUCCUCUGCGAAGUAGUGAUAUUCCGCAUCGGAGAGCGACGAGCCCCUGCCGUUAAACCCCCAACUUUCCAAGGUUGACCUCAGAUCAGGUAGGAAUACCCGCUGAACUUAAGCAUAUCAAUAAGCGGAGGA